rnacentral:rRNA from 1 species
GACGAACGCUGGCGGCGUGCCUAAUACAUGCAAGUAGAACGCUGAAGGAGGAGCUUGCUUCUCUGGAUGAGUUGCGAACGGGUGAGUAACGCGUAGGUAACCUGCCUGGUAGCGGGGGAUAACUAUUGGAAACGAUAGCUAAUACCGCAUAACAGUAGAUAUCGCAUGAUAUCUACUUGAAAGGUGCAAUUGCAUCACUACCAGAUGGACCUGCGUUGUAUUAGCUAGUUGGUGAGGUAACGGCUCACCAAGGCGACGAUACAUAGCCGACCUGAGAGGGUGAUCGGCCACACUGGGACUGAGACACGGCCCAGACUCCUACGGGAGGCAGCAGUAGGGAAUCUUCGGCAAUGGACGGAAGUCUGACCGAGCAACGCCGCGGGAGUGAAGAAGGUUUUCGGAUCGUAAAGCUCUGUUGUAAGAGAAGAACGAGUGUGAGAGUGGAAAGUUCACACUGUGACGGUAUCUUACCAGAAAGGGACGGCUAACUACGUG